rnacentral:rRNA from 1 species
UACGAAGGGGGCUAGCGUUGCUCGGAAUCACUGGGCGUAAAGCGCACGUAGGCGGAUUCUUAAGUCGGGGGUGAAAGCCUGGAGCUCAACUCCAGAACUGCCUUCGAUACUGAGAGUCUUGAGUCCGGGAGAGGUGAGUGGAACUGCGAGUGUAGAGGUGAAAUUCGUAGAUAUUCGCAAGAACACCAGUGGCGAAGGCGGCUCACUGGCCCGGUACUGACGCUGAGAAGCGAAAGCAUGGGGAGCGAACAGG